rnacentral:rRNA from 1 species
UACAGAGGGUGCAAGCGUUGUUCGGAAUUAUUGGGCGUAAAGCGCGUGUAGGCGGCUUUGCAAGUCGGAUGUGAAAGCCCACGGCUCAACCGUGGAAGUGCAUCCGAAACUGCAUGGCUCGAGUCUCGGAGAGGAAGGUGGAAUGCUUGGUGUAGAGGUGAAAUUCGUAGAUAUCAAGCAGAACACCUGCGGCGAAGGCGGCCUUCUGGACGAUGACUGACGCUGAGACGCGAAAGCGUGGGGAGCAAACAGG